rnacentral:rRNA from 1 species
UAGGGGAAAUCUUCGGCAAUGGGGGCGAACCCUGACCGAGCAACGCCGCGUGAGUGAAGAAGGUUUUCGGAUCGUAAAGCUCUGUUGUAAGAGAAGAACGUGUGUGAGAGUGGAAAGUUCACACAGUGACGGUAACUUACCAGAAAGGGACGGCUAACUACGUGCCAG